AGUGAACGCUGGCGGUAGGCCUAACACAUGCAAGUCGAACGGCAGCACAGUAAGAGCUUGCUCUUACGGGUGGCGAGUGGCGGACGGGUGAGGAAUACAUCGGAAUCUACUUUUUCGUGGGGAUAACGUAGGGAAACUUACGCUAAUACCGCAUACGACCUACGGGUGAAAGCAGGGGAUCUUCGGACCUUGCGCGAUUGAAUGAGCCGAUGUCGGAUUAGCUAGUUGGCGGGGUAAAGGCCCACCAAGGCGACGAUCCGUAGCUGGUCUGAGAGGAUGAUCGGCCACACUGGAACUGAGACACGGUCCAGACUCCUACGGGAGGCAGCAGUGGGGAAUAUUGGACAAUGGGCGCAAGCCUGAUCCAGCCAUACCGCGUGGGUGAAGAAGGCCUUCGGGUUGUAAAGCCCUUUUGUUGGGAAAGAAAAGCAGCAGGUUAAUACCCCGCUGUUCUGACGGUACCCAAAGAAUAAGCACCGGCUAACUUCGUG
rnacentral:rRNA from 1 species